UUUGCAAUUUUUUCUAGAACUCAAAUCCCCUUUGGGACUGGCAUUGUGGUGCUGUGGGUUAAGCUGCAGUCCAGUGAGAGGAACUGCAAGGUGUCCGGCGGAUCCCAAAGCUAUCAGGAACAACUAAAGGAAACAUGACCCAGGGAAGACUCCUGCCUGUCUCUGUGAAGAGAAGAGAUUGGAUGAUCUGUAUAUAAGUUCCAGAUGGAUGGGGCUGGUGCUGUGGUGUAGCGGGUAAAGCCACCAUCUGUGACACUGGCAUGCCAGUGUCACUCGAACUGGCUGGUUCGAGUCCUGGCUGCUCCACUUCCAAUCCAGCUCCCUGCUGAUGUGCCUGAGAAAGCAGCAGCAGAUGACCCAAGUCCUUGGGCCCCUGCACCCACGUGGGGGAUCCGGAAGAAGCUCCUGGCUUCUGGCUUCAGAUUGGCCCAGCUCAGGCUGUUGUGGCCGUUUGGGGAGUGAACCAACUGAUGGAAGAUGGCUAGGAAAAUGCAGGGAGAAUGGAUCUGAGUGGAGCAUUUGUCAGAGCCUCUCCGGGUAUUCUGUAGUUAGAAGAUGAAUGCAGGGGCCGGCACUGUGGCAUCGCCAGUUAAGCCACAUCCUGCGACGCCAGCAUCCGUGUAUGGGCCUUGGAUCGAGUCCCAGCAGCUCCAGUUCUGAUCCAGCUCCCUGCUAAUGGCCUGGGAAAGCAGCAGAGGAUGGCCCAACUGCAUUGUCCUGCUUACUAAUGAUCGUCAAUAUUAACACUCCUGUGGGUUCUUGCCACUUAUUCGAAGAAGUCUGAAGACUGGCUCAAAUAGACCAGACAACACGCUCUCUGCUAUGGCCUGGGAGAGCAGUAGAAGAUGGCCCAAGUGCCUGGGUCCCUGCACCCACGUUGGAGACCUGGAAGAAGCUCCUGGCUCCUGGCUUUGGAUCAGUGCAGCCCUAGCCGUUGCGGCCAAUUGGGGAGUGAACCAGCAGAUGGAAGACCUCUCUCUCUGUCUCUGCCUCUCCUUCUCUCUCUGUGUAACUCUGACUUCCAAAUAAAUAAAUAAAUAUUAAAAAAGGAGAAACAGAAGUGCACUAUUCAUUUGAUAAACGCGAUUUGAACCGUAUGCGGUUUUGCUGCAGCAAAGAGGCCCAGGAUUUGAGAGUGAGGAUGGCAACUCAUCAGUGAGGCAGUCAGAUUCCACAACUCCAGUCCCGGCAGCACUUUCCUAGAAAUGUCUGUAGAAAUUCGAAACCGUGGAAUUGCCAUGUCAAAGGAUUUGUUCUUUACUUGGCCUGCGUGGUCUGCCACUUCUAGCAUCAGCGCGACAUACGACACUUAAGACGUCUGCAGCUGUCCCAGCUCACAGCUGCGCUGGGUUCCCACUGACAUUCUCUAAGCUGGUCUGUGACUUUGGAGCUAGCUCGUGAGACCCCUCCAAGGCAGGCUUCCAGGGCUCGCGGCCCGGA